UAAUAAGUGUUUUAUGGCACUUUUUAAAUCCAUAUCCACCUUGUGUGCAAUGUCAGUCGAUCUUCUUUAUGGAGAUUGACCAAAUAUCAACCUUUAUCUUUUAACAUCUUUGUCUGAAAAAUAUUACGAACAAACAAUUCAAAAUA
rnacentral:misc_RNA from 1 species